CUAGAGAAGAGUAUGAAAAGCAGCAAUCUGUAAUAAGGAGGGUCACAGAUCCUGAGACUGGCAGACAGAGAUUGGUAAAAGGGGAUGGAGAAAUCUUGGAAGAAUGUGUUUCAUAUUCACGCCACAAAGAAAUUAAUAAGGAGUUUGUUCAUCGUGGCAGCAGCCAUACUCUGAAAAUUUGCAUUCUGGUGGCGGCGGCUCUUGAAUAAAAGAUAAAAGACUCCUUUUUUUCCAGGUGCGCAAUUUGCAUUAUAUUAUCUUUAGAAAUAGAAAGUAACUUUUAGAGUUUUAAAUUUCUCUACAGAAAUACUUUUACUGUUGCUUUCUCGAGAAUUUAGAUCUUCGUCUGUAAACAAAUGAAUAUGAUUAGCCGAGAGUACAUCUGUUGGUUGAAAAAUGCUUGCUUCAGAUGACCAAAAACAAAAUGAGUUUUGUUCAUAGUGAGAAAUAACAAUCACAUUCCACUUGUUUCACGAAUCUGAUUGCAAUCAAUUCAACGUGUCAAAGGCAAAGCUAAAGAAAAUUGUCGAGGAGGCGGUGGCCAAACUGCUUCCAAUGAAGUCUUGAGCCAUUUGAGAACACACAACAACUUAUAACGCAGGAAUGGAGUACAUAAUACAGGGCCAACGCCAAGAAUUUGAAAAUGGGGGGGGGGGGCAAGACUUGCAAAAGUAGUCGGCCAAGACUAGCAAAAGUAGUCGGCCAAGGCUUCUUUCCCCUUUUGCCUCAGGUUUAAAACUAGUUGCUUCGCAAAAAAUGGGGAAGGGGGGGCAUGCCCACCUUCUCAGCGUAGGCCCUGUGAUACGGAUGUUUUUCUUUAUCGUUAUCCAUCUAUUUAUAAAUCUUCUUCGAAGUUUCGUACUAUAGUACA